AUUGAACGCUGGCGGCAUGCUUUACACAUGCAAGUCGAGCGGUAACAGGCCGCAAGGUGCUGACGAGUGGCGAACGGGUGAGUAAUGCAUCGGAACGUGCCCAGUCGUGGGGGAUAACUACUCGAAAGAGUAGCUAAUACCGCAUACGAUCUAUGGAUGAAAGCGGGGGACCGUAAGGCCUCGCGCGAUUGGAGCGGCCGAUGUCAGAUUAGGUAGUUGGUGGGGUAAAGGCUCACCAAGCCAACGAUCUGUAGCUGGUCUGAGAGGACAACCAGCCACACUGGGACUGAGACACGGCCCAGACUCCUACGGGAGGCAGCAGUGGGGAAUUUUGGACAAAGGGCGCAAGCCUGAUCCAGCAAUGCCGCGUGCAGGAAGAAGGCCUUCGGGUUGUAAACUGCUUUUGUACGGAACGAAACGGCUCUGGUUAAUACCCGGGGCUAAUGACGGUACCGUAAGAAUAAGCACCGGCUAACUACGUG
rnacentral:rRNA from 1 species